rnacentral:lncRNA from 10 species
UCGGGGAGCUCGGCUCUUGAGACAGGAAUCUUGCCCAUUCCCCGAACGAAUAAACCCCUUCCUUAACUCAGCGUCUGAGGAAUUUUGUCUGCGGCUCCUCCUGCUACAUUCUGAGUGGGGAAAGGGACUAAGGUGGUCUGAGGACCCCACAGAGUCAGGAAGAUUGAGAGCCUGAUAAAGGUAGUGCCCCUCCGGCCUCGCCAUG